UAAUACGUAUGGGGCGAGCGUUGUUCGGAAUUAUUGGGCGUAAAGGGCGUCUAGGCGGGGAUUUAAGUUAGGUGUGAAAGCUAUGGGCUCAACCCAUAAACUGCACCUAAAACUGAAUCUCUUGAGUUCGGGAGAGGAGAGCGGAAUUCCAGGUGUAGCGGUGAAAUGCGUAGAUAUCUGGAAGAACACCAGUGGCGAAGGCGGCUCUCUGGCCUAGAACUGACGCUGAAGCGCGAAAGCGUGGGGAGCGAACAGG
rnacentral:rRNA from 1 species